ACAAUUGGUCCGUCUCCACUGCUCAGAUGCGGUUGAUGUAUGAUAUGCACGAUUGCAGGCAAGAUAUACUGAAAAUACAAAGUGUUCAGACAGAUGACUGAACAAAAGGGCUUAAAUAAAUCAAAGAAA